rnacentral:rRNA from 1 species
AGAGUUUGAUCAUGGCUCAGAACGAACGCUGGCGGCAGGCCUAACACAUGCAAGUCGAGCGCGCCCUUCGGGGUGAGCGGCGGACGGGUUAGUAACGCGUGGGAACGUACCCAGAUCUACGGAAUAGCCUUUGGAAACGAAGAGUAAUACCGUAUACGCCCUUCGGGGGAAAGAUUUAUCGGAUUUGGAUCGGCCCGCGUUAGAUUAGAUAGUUGGUGGGGUAAUGGCCUACCAAGUCUACGAUCUAUAGCUGGUUUUAGAGGAUGAUCAGCAACACUGGGACUGAGACACGGCCCAGACUCCUACGGGAGGCAGCAGUGGGGAAUCUUAGACAAUGGGCGCAAGCCUGAUCUAGCCAUGCCGCGUGAGUGAUGAAGGCCUUAGGGUCGUAAAGCUCUUUCGCCAGGGAUGAUAAUGACAGUACCUGGUAAAGAAACCCCGGCUAACUCCGUGCCAGCAGCCGCGGUAAUACGGAGGGGGUUAGCGUUGUUCGGAAUUACUGGGCGUAAAGCGCGCGUAGGCGGACCAGAAAGUUGGGGGUGAAAUCCCGGGGCUCAACCCCGGAACUGCCUCCAAAACUCCUGAUCUAGAGUUCGAGAGAGGUGAGUGGAACUCCGAGUGUAGAGGUGAAAUUCGUAGAUAUUCGGAAGAACACCAGUGGCGAAGGCGGCUCACUGGCUCGAUACUGACGCUGAGGUGCGAAAGUGUGGGGAGCAAACAGGAUUAGAUACCCUGGUAGUCCACACCGUAAACGAUGAAU